GUGUGUGUGUGUGUGCGUGUUUGUUGCACAUUUUGAUGACAGGGAUAGGGGGCUCCCACUUAAAGC